rnacentral:misc_RNA from 1 species
AAAGGGUUCUAGAGGUAAUAGCUUCUGUCAUCAUAUAUUAGAGAACAAAUUAACUUAUUGGUUUUAAGGAAUCUAUAUGUCAGUGAACAAGCCUAAUUCUCAAAGAAAAGUGCUAAUAAGGAGUAUAGGCAUUGAAAAUUAAUUACAAUAGUGCCCAAAAUGGUCUAAAAUGUUGUAGUUAAUAUUAAUAAUUUGCAUGAGAAAAAGACCAUCACUAUUAACAUUCAGAUUAUGUGCCUUGCUUCUUCUAUUAAUGCACAUUUGUUGAUUACCAUCAAUCAUAACAUUCAGAUUAUCUGCCUGGCUUUGUCCUGUUAAUGCACAUUUCUUGGCUUUUAAGAAGUCAACCUAUGAUCCACAGCACUACACCCAGACCUUCAUCGCUUGAGCUAAUACCCAAGGGUGAUGUUGGGUCAAGUUGAAAGAGCUAUAGAUCUGGUCAUUGCUCACAAUCUACUUGAUGAAGCCUAGUUAGUGUAUGAUAGAUGAUGCAGUAUAGGAAGAUUAGA